CAGUGACUUUGUUCAACGGCCGCGGUAUCCUAACCGUGCGAAGGUAGCGUAAUCACUUGUUCUUUAAAUGAGGACUAGUAUGAAUGGCACCACGAAGGUUAUACUGUCUCCUUUUUCUAAUCAAUGAAACUAAUCUCCCCGUGAAGAAACGGGGAUAAACCUAUAAGACGAGAAGACCCUAUGGAGCUUUAAACACAAGUUACAAAUGCCUACUUCAUAUUUUCCCUCAGGGUACUCAUUUUUACUAGGCGUCUUGAUUUCAAGUUUUAGGUUGGGGUGACCACGGAGUAAAAAAUAACCUCCGUAAUGAAUAGAAUUCAUUCUUAAACUCAGGGUUACGACCCUAAGUAUCAAAAAAUUGACACCUAUUGACCCAAUAUUUUGAUCAAUGAACCAAGUUACCCUAGGGAUAACAGCGCAAUCCACUUCAAGAGCCCCUAUCGACAAGUGGGUUUACGACCUCGAUGUUGGAUCAGGGUAUCCUAGUGGUGCAGCCGCUACUAAAGGUUCGUUUGUUCAACGAUUAAAACCCUACGUGAU
rnacentral:rRNA from 1 species